CGCGGCCUAUCAGCUUGUUGGUGAGGUAAUGGCUCACCAAGGCGACGACGGGUAGCCGGCCUGAGAGGGCGACCGGCCACACUGGGACUGAGACACGGCCCAGACUCCUACGGGAGGCAGCAGUGGGGAAUAUUGCACAAUGGGCGAAAGCCUGAUGCAGCGACGCCGCGUGAGGGAUGACGGCCUUCGGGUUGUAAACCUCUUUCAGCUCCGAAGAAGCGAGAGUGACGGUAGGAGCAGAAGAAGCACCGGCUAACUACGUGCCAGCAGCCGCGGUAAUACGUAGGGUGCAAGCGUUGUCCGGAAUUAUUGGGCGUAAAGAGCUCGUAGGUGGUUCGUCGCGUCUGCUGUGAAAGUCCGAGGCUUAACCUCGGAUCUGCAGUGGGUACGGGCGGACUAGAGUGCGGUAGAGGAGAUGGGAAUUCCUGGUGUAGCGGUGGAAUGCGCAGAUAUCAGGAGGAACACCGGUGGCGAAGGCGCAUCUCUGGGCCGUAACUGACGCUGAGGAGCGAAAGCAUGGGGAGCAAACAGGCUUAGAUACCCUGGUAGUCCAUGCCGUAAACGUUGGGCGCUAGGUGUGGGGUCCUAUCCACGGAUUCCGUGCCGCAGCUAACGCAUUAAGCGCCCCGCCUGGGGAGUACGG
rnacentral:rRNA from 1 species